rnacentral:rRNA from 1 species
CCUACGGGCGGCAGCAGUGGGGAAUAUUGGACAAUGGGGGGAACCCUGAUCCAGCGACGCCGCGUGAGUGAAGAAGUAUUUCGGUAUGUAAAGCUCUAUCAGCAGGGAAGAAAGAAAUGCCGUUACCUGACUAAGAAGCCCCGCCUAACUACGUGCCAGCAGCCGCGGUAAUACGUAGGGGGCAAGCGUUAUCCGGAUUUACUGGGUGUAAAGGGGGCGUAGACGGCGAUGCAAGUCUGAAGUGAAAGGCGGGGGCCCAACCCCCGGACUGCUUUGGAAACUGUAUGGCUGGAGUGCAGGAGAGGUAAGUGGAAUUCCUAGUGUAGCGGUGAAAUGCGUAGAUAUUAGGAGGAACACCAGUGGCGAAGGCGGAUUACUGGACUGUAACUGACGUUGAGGCUCGAAAGCGUGGGGAGCAAACAGGAUUAGAUACCCCAGUAGUC